GAUGAACGCUGGCGGCGUGCCUAAUACAUGCAAGUCGAGCGAACGGACGAGAAGCUUGCUUCUCUGAUGUUAGCGGCGGACGGGUGAGUAACACGUGGAUAACCUACCUAUAAGACUGGGAUAACUUCGGGAAACCGUAGCUAAUACCGGAUAAUAUUUUGAACCGCAUGGUUCAAAAGUGAAAGACGGUCUUGCUGUCACUUAUAGAUGGAUCCGCGCUGCAUUAGCUAGUUGGUAAGGUAACGGCUUACCAAGGCAACGAUGCAUAGCCGACCUGAGAGGGUGAUCAGCCACACUGGAACUGAGACACGGUCCAGACUCCUACGGGAGGCAGCAGUAGGGAAUCUUCCGCAAUGGGCGAAAGCCUGACGGAGCAACGCCGCGUGAGUGAUGAAGGUCUUCGGAUCGUAAAACUCUGUUAUUAGGGAAGAACAUAUGUGUAAGUAACUGUGCACAUCUUGACGGUACCUAAUCAGAGAGCCACGGCUAACUACGUG
rnacentral:rRNA from 1 species